AGAGUUUGAUUAUGGCUCAGAUUGAACGCUGGCGGCGUGCUUAACACAUGCAAGUCGUACGCGAAAGGGACUUCGGUCCCGAGUAAAGUGGCGCACGGGUGAGUAACACGUGGAUAAUCUGCCUCUAUGAUGGGGAUAACAGUUGGAAACGACUGCUAAUACCGAAUACGCUCAUGAUGAACUUUGUGAGGAAAGGUGGCCUCUGCUUGCAAGCUAUCGCAUAGAGAUGAGUCCGCGUCCCAUUAGCUAGUUGGUGGGGUAACGGCCUACCAAGGCAACGAUGGGUAGCCGAUCUGAGAGGAUGAUCGGCCACACUGGAACUGAAACACGGUCCAG
rnacentral:rRNA from 1 species